rnacentral:rRNA from 1 species
UACGGAGGAGGCAAGCGUUAUCCGGAAUUAUUGGGCGUAAAGCGUCCGCAGGUGGCACUUCAAGUCUGUCGUCAAAGACUGGGGCUUAACCCUGGAAAGGCGGUGGAAACUGAAGCGCUAGAGUGUGGUAGGGGUAGAGGGAAUUCCCGGUGUAGCGGUGAAAUGCGUAGAUAUCGUUUGGAACGCCAAUGGUGAAAACAGGUCGCUGGGGAUGAGCUGACGCUGAGACACGAAAGCCAGGGGAGCAAACGGG